AUUGAUUUUAUGCUUGCAUAAAUGAUUUUUGGAUUCGGAGCGAGUGGCGAACUGGUGAGUAACACGUGGGUAACCUGCCCCGAAGCGGGGGAUAACAUUUGGAAACAAGUGCUAAUACCGCAUAAUUAGUUGGAACCGCAUGGUUCCAACUUGAAAGAUGGCUCUGCUAUCACUUUGGGAUGGACCCGCGCCGUAUUAGUUAGUUGGUGAGAUAAAAGCCCACCAAGACGAUGAUACGUAGCCGACCUGAGAGGGUAAUCGGCCACAUUGGGACUGAGACACGGCCCAGACUCCUACGGGAGACAGCAGUAGGGAAUCUUCCACAAUGGACGAAAGUCUGAUGGAGCAACGCCGCGUGAGUGAUGAAGGUUUUCGGAUCGUAAAACUCUGUUGUUAAAGAAGAACAAGUGUUAGAGUAACUGUUAACACUUUGACGGUAUUUAACCAGAAAGCCACGGCUAACUACGUGCCAGCAGCCGCGGUAAUACGUAGGUGGCAAGCGUUGUCCGGAUUUAUUGGGCGUAAAGCGAGCGCAGGCGGUUUUGUAAGUCUGCUGUGAAAGCCCUCAGCUCAACUGAGGGAGUGCAGUGGAAACUACAAAACUUGAGUACAGAAGAGGAAAGUGGAACUCCAUGUGUAGCGGUGAAAUGCGUAGAUAUAUGGAAGAACACCAGUGGCGAAGGCGGCUUUCUGGUCUGUUACUGACGCUGAGGCUCGAAAGCAUGGGUAGCGAACAGGAUUAGAUACCCUGGUAGUCCAUGCCGUAAACGAUGAAUACUAGGUGUUGGAGGGUUUCCGCCCUUCAGUGCCGCAGCUAACGCAUUAAGUAUUCCGCCUGGGGAGUACGACCGCAAGGUUGAAACUCAAAGGAAUUGACGGGGGCCCGCACAAGUGGUGGAGCAUGUGGUUUAAUUCGAUGCUACGCGAAGAACCUUACCAGCUCUUGACAUCUUCUGCCAACCCAAGAGAUUGGGCGUUCCCUUCGGGGACAGAAUGACAGGUGGUGCAUGGUUGUCGUCAGCUCGUGUCGUGAGAUGUUGGGUUAAGUCCCGCAACGAGCGCAACCCUUAUUAUUAGUUGCCAGCAUUUAGUUGGGCACUCUAGUGAGACUGCCGGUGAUAAA
rnacentral:rRNA from 1 species